rnacentral:rRNA from 1 species
GACGAACGCUGGCGGCGUGCUUAACACAUGCAAGUCGAACGGAAAGGCCCUGCUUUUGUGGGGUGCUCGAGUGGCGAACGGGUGAGUAACACGUGAGUAACCUGCCCUUGACUUUGGGAUGACUUCAGGAAACUGGGGCUAAUACCGGAUAGGAGCUCCUGCUGCAUGGAGGGGGUUGGAAAGUUUCGGCGGUUGGGGAUGGACUCGCGGCUUAGCAGCUUGUUGGUGGGGUAGUGGCUUACCCAGGCUUUGAAGGGUAGCCGGCCUGGGAGGGUGAACGGCCACAUUGGGACUGAGAGACGGCCCAGACUCCUACGUGAGGCAGUAGGCGGGAAUAUUGCACAAUGGGCGGAAGCCUGAUGCAGCAACGCCGCGUGCGGGAUGACGGCCUUCGGGUUGUAAACCGCUUUCGCCUGUGACGAAGCGGGAGUGACGGUAACGGGUAAAGAAGCACCGGCUAACUACGUG